GCGGAGGGGGCGGAGGGGGCGGUGGGGGCGGAGCCGGGGCCGGCGUGUCGCGUCUGAGGCUAAUGUUCGGGGGACGGCAGGGCGCCGAGCGGGGUCGGGCGGCGGGCCAAUACCCUCACCUGCAGUGUCCGCCCACCUUCCAGCCCGAGACCUACUGCCUCGCGAGGCUGGCGCCCAAGCAGCCCUGACCGUGAGCGUUCUCGGAGCCGGGCGACCUUGGCGACUCGACGGGGACCCGAUGAAGACGAAGGACGAACUCGUCUCGUCGAUGUUUUGGUACUGACGCCUGUAUAUAGCCCUUUACCUAUAAACGUUAACUCCGCUCGGUACAAUUGAGAGUGGGACGAGACUUACGUUCAGACGACUGACGCUUUGUUCCUCAGCCGUACUCCGCCGUUACGUUAUCGCUUCUCCCAUACUAAUGACUGAUUUAAUUGCAUCAUCGAAUGAACCUCCCUUUCUCCCUUUCUCUCGUCCCUCGCCAAGUUUCGUUGUCACGAGAGCGGAAUGAAUUGGCUCCGUUACCCUUCCGGCCUCGAUCUCUCCGGGCGUGUCUAAGUUACGAGGAAUGCUUGUCAGCGACAGUUCAAUGGGUGUCAUAUGUGGUGCUAUCUUACACGAAGCUUUUCUAGAUGGCGACGUAAUCGCUCAUCAACGCCUCUCGGCUGACUAUUAUUCAACUUAACACUUUAGAUCUUAAAGUUGAAGUUUGAGGCUCGGUCUCUGUGAGGGACUCGUCAAUGCGAGGGCACUCGCGCGUACGUGUCGACCGAGGUACGUACGCGUGCGUAUACGCCGUACGAUCGCCGAUCGUGCUAUUGAAUGAUGAUUGUUAUUGAUAUUUAAGUAAAAGUUAAAUUUAAGGCACACAUUACUUAGGGUUUUGUAAAGCUGGGAGCAUUCGAGCUAUUUUAAACCGUUAUUUCGUAGAGAACUUCGAUGCUGUGAUAUUUAUUAAGUUUUUUUUUUAAUUCCGAUAGUAUUGAACUUAAUAUUUGGGCACUUCGACCUAAAAUUGUUUAUCGCGCGAAGCGAUAUGGCGUCCAAUAGUGUCUAUAAGGAUAAAUUUAACUUUGAUACAUUUCAAUUGAAUGAUUUUAAUCGUGUAGUUGCCGAAAGUUAUACUUUAUUUUGCUUUGAAUUGUGUUUUCGUUAUGUAUCGAAUGCUUUCUCUCGUCUCUCUUGAGUUUAACUAUAUACUGAUUUUUAAACACUACCAAGACCAAUUUACAGUUUUAACACAAGUAUAUGGAUGUCACGAUUUUCUCACGGCUCUAGAUAAUAAACAACAUUCUUAAACUGUAAUAAUUUUAAUUGCAUCUAUUGUAGAUUUUAUGUAAUAAAUAUUCAGCGUGUCAGCAGAGUUUCUCUAAACGAUUUACGUAUACGUGAUCGUCAUAAGCGUACGCUUUUUUCACUUACGACGAACAUGGAACUUAUCGGUCUGAAUGUUAUGCAUAAGCGAAUUUUAGUACCGUGACCGAUUAAUAUUUUAAACUAAGUUCCUUUAACUAAUGUAUUAAUGAAAUGCGCGUCUUUUAAUGCUCAAUUUUGACAAUCAUUUGCCAAGUACGGAGGUUGUUAUAUAGUUGUUAGGUGUAGUCACUCGAAUUGUAUCUUUUCUCUAUAUAACAGUGCUUUAUACAUAUGUAUUAUAUGGUUUCCGAAUAAAUAUAAAAUUAUAUAAAUAAUCCUAUUUUGUCUUAAAUGGCAGUAUUAAACAUUAAUAUAUACUUUUAAAAAUUAUAUUAGAAGUCACGGAAUUAUUUUAUGGGUCCGCGGUUAAGUUAUUGAUUAUGAACUAUUAUGAACUUAUUGAAAAUUUUAUAAAGAUAAAUAAUUUUUCGAACUCGCUUGGAUUUCGUAACUGUAGAACUUAUAUAUAUUUUUGUGUAGGAUGUAUAUGAUAUGACCGAUAGGGACGGAGAUGCAAUGACAACUUUAAAGUUUCCAAAACGGGGAAAGAUUAACCUUGUUCCGGUUAAAACUACGUCACGGGAGGCUAUUGUUGUGAAAAUGGGAACAUGAGCAAUAAGCUUAUUUUAGUAUCAUUAGCGUAAAGCGCUCGACAAUUACCAGAGCGGUCGAAGUAAAUUCAGCCUUUUGCACCUCAUAUAUCACUAUCAUAAAGUUAUCGAUAAUAUUUUCUGAUAUUAAAUUUAAAAAAAAACAAAGAGCGUUGACGUACUAGUGACGUUAAAAAUUUUUUUGUAUCAAAUUAAUCUCUCAAUAAUUACCUGAUAAUAUGACAAUGACGCAGUUAAAGCAUUCAUGAAUUUAAUGAGAAUACUCUUAUCGGUCUAAUAAUUAAUUAUUUAAAUUGUACGGUUGAUAUAUGUAAAUUACUUUUUUUGCGAUGGUUGCUUUAGAAGUGUAUUUUCCAUUAUAUGUCCUAUUUAGGUAGGUACCCACUCAAUCGUCAUAGUUUGUAAAAUGUAGGUGCCUUUAUAAUAUGCAUCCAACGAAACCGCGGGCUGACCAUAAAAGGCCGUUGCCGGCCUUUGAAUCGUGAUGAAUACAUCUUUUUUGUAUAAUCGAAAGACCAUCCAGACCAGUUUUUUAGCCCGCAAGGGGCCAAGCAAAGCGAACUGUGUAAAAUUUUAAUUGAGCAUUGACGAGUUUUUAUUCCUAUUAGUUAUUUAUGAUUAAAUUAAAAUAAAUCUUUUAAUGUUAGGUAUUACUGUUGAUUUAUCUAAAAACUUAUCUCGACCGGCGCUCACCCCGGGUGAGGCUGCGGAACAAUUUUCCAUAGUGAUUCAGUUUCGAAUAAGCUAAUUAGUAUAUGUUUUGCUGGUGGCGAAGGCGUGUCAUACACAUAUCAAAACUCUCUGAACUCGGUGGCAACAUCUUCACAAGACUGACGUUAUUUCUUGCGCAAAUGUGACCGAGUUAAGACAUUUGAUUUAAUGUCGUUGACAAUAAAUUCAUAUACAACGACGCAUACUGUAGUUAGUAUAUUGAACGGUGUUGGCAGUGAUACUCAGCUUUAUAAGUAGAUAGGAAAAUGUAUAAAUUGUAUUCGUAAGUUUAUUAUUUGCUAAUUUAUCAGCAGUUUUAGUUCUAAAUCAAUGAAGAAUUUUUAACUGUUCUGUAAGUUCAGGUACUCUUGUACCUAAACAAUAUUGAUUGCUAUCUCAAAUUACGUGUAUUUGUAAGAUUUUUAUAAGUAUGAAUUUUAACUAAAAAAAAUCUAUUAAGGAUUUGAAUUGUUUCGUUAUAAUUUGUAUAUAACGUAUAAAAUUAUUUACAACGGAAUUUCGACUACUGUGAUGCAGUGAGGUUAGGUUAAGUUUUUCUUUUGUAAUCUUCUGUUAAUAUGAAUACCAAUGUACGUCAGUUCAAUUGUUUAAUAAAUAAAACAUUUUUUAUAUUA